GGUGUUGGUCUGUUCUCCCAUGUGCCUGGUGAUAGGACGAGGGGGAAUGGGCUAAAGUUGCACCAGGGGAGGUGUAGGCUGGAUGUUAGGAAGAACUUCUUCACCAAAAGGGUUGUUAGACAUUGGAACAGGCUGCCCAGGGGAGUGGUCGAGUCACCAUCCCUGGAGGUCUUUAAAAGAUGUUUAGGUGUGGAGCUUAGGGAUACGGCUUAGUGGAGGACUUGUUAGUGGUACGUCAGAGGUUGGACUACGUGAUCUUGGAAGUCUCUUCCAACCUAGGUGAUUCUGUGUUGCAGUCUCCAAGCUGGGAUACAGCCACCUGUUAGUUCAGCAUAACUGAAUUUUGUGUUCCUUGCGAUAGCUGUUCCUUCACCUCCUCUUCAGAGACAAGGACAUGCAUCUCUUUCACGCUCCUUCAUUAGUAAAGAAACCAGGAUAGAUCAAAGCCCGUUUCUUCAUGUCAGUAAGAUACCUGCCUUUGGUUUCAGUGAAAAUUCAGGCCCUAGCACCUGAAGUUUCUUCUGGAUGGUGUUUCUUCUAUAUAGGGUAAUUUCAUUUCCCUGUUGAAGACUUACAAGGACGUAGUAACAAAAGCAAAGGCAUAAAACAGUCCAGGAGGCAUAGGCAGCUUUUGAGCCUGCAGCAGACUAUAGGUAUGAUAUUAUCAUUUCAAACAAAUACAGUUUAUGUAACGUGAAUGGUUUCAGCACGCUUGCACUCUGCCAAAAGACAGAAAAUGGGACCUUCAUUUUAUGACCAGAUGGAAAAGAGAAACAACAACAACAAAAAUUUUCCUUCACCUAAUUUUUUUUAUUUUGCAACUGCUUCAGGUGUCCACGAGGAAUUAUGCCCCCCCAAAAAGACACUGUGGCAUAGAGAUAUAGCAGAAGACAUUCUUCUCACUGAAGUACAGUUAAGCCCCACAAAGUGCCAAAAAAACCCUGCCAAAAUGUAAUGUAUUUAUAAGUUAGUUUUACAUGUUGGCAUUAUUUACUUGUCUGGUCUUGCAUUCAAGGCUUGAUCUAUCUGGGGGUAGAAUAUGUAAUGCCGUGCAAGGUUGCUUAGUUAUACAUGUAUGACUGGCAAAAUGACUUUAAAAUUUUGAACUGUUUGUAUAGAAGCAAAAUGCAGAAGAGUACACUGUCUCCAAGGAAAACUACCUGUUGCUUCUCAUGUUUAAAGUUUUCCCUUAAAAUGUUAACAUGUUUGAGUACAAUUCUUACAUAUACAUGCACAUUUUCCUCUCCAAUUUCCAACUUGGAGUGCAACAUUUUUCAUCAUACUCUUAGAUGAGGAUUCUGAUUCAGAGGAGUCAGAAGAGAGCUUUUGUAGAAAGAAAAUGUAUUUUAGGAGGUUCCUUUUUUUUUUUUUUUUUUCUUUCAGAUAAUCUAAUCUUUCUUGGCUGCAAGACGUCUGCAGAUAUACAGAACAAACAUCCACCUUAAAUCCAGCCAGCUACAGAUCAGUUCUAUCCAUCUCUAAAAGAGUUUUCAGAAAAUUUGACAGAAGUAUGAAUGAAGGGAUUCUGUAUUAAUGAGAAUACUACCUCUCGCUUUACUUGGUUAUUUGUUGUUGUUGCUUGUUGAAAGCAGUAAUGUCUUUUUUUUAAGACUAAUUUCAAUAGCACUGCAUAUGCUUAUCUCUGUGGGUAACACAGGGUUUGGGAAGACACCAGUCAUAAUGUUUUGAAUCCUCUACUCCAGUUAAAGUAAAAUAUACAUAGGGAUAGGGGCUUUCACAGUCCAGUCCUACUGAGGGCAGUAACUUCUUCAGUAGCCCUAAUUUGAUGUGUUCCAUUGCAAACUAUACAACAGCUAUAACUAUUGAGAAUGCACCUGGAGGUACCUUAACCUCAGCAGACACCAGUAUUGUAGCAAAAGAGGUGGGUUAUUUCCUGGUUCUUCCUGCACCAAAAUAUGGGGUUCUUAGCACAAUCUAGUCCAUUCACCUAUCUU
rnacentral:lncRNA from 1 species